rnacentral:rRNA from 1 species
AUUGAACGCUGGCGGCAGGCCUAACACAUGCAAGUCGAACGAGCGGCGGACGGGUGAGUAAUGUAUGGGGAACUGCCCGAUAGAGGGGGAUAACUACUGGAAACGGUGGCUAAUACCGCAUACCAUCGGAUGAACCCAUAUGGGAUUAGCUAGUAGGUGGGGUAACGGCUCACCUAGGCGACGAUCUCUAGCUGGUCUGAGAGGAUGACCAGCCACACUGGAACUGAGACACGGCCCAGACUCCUACGGGAGGCAGCAGUGGGGAAUAUUGCACAAUGGGCGCAAGCCUGAUGCAGCCAUGCCGCGUGUAUGAAGAAGGCCUUAGGGUUGUAAAGUACUUUCAGCGGGGAGGCGUUACCCGCAGAAGAAGCACCGGCUAACUCCGUGCCAGCCGCCGCGGUAAUAC